GUGUUGUGUGAGAGGAGAGACAGUUAGCACACCCUUGACGAGGGGGAAGAGGCUCUCAGGCCCGACAGCACGCAGUCGAUAAGGUAUCGCUGCCCACUUCAAGGCAUCGAGCCAUCAUUUGU